GUUCCAAGGGGGGCCGGCGGCAGCCGGCUGAGAUCCAUCCGGCGCCGGUGGACCACUCUUGAACCUGAUCCGGGUCAUGCCGGCGUAGGGAUAGG
rnacentral:ncRNA from 1 species